rnacentral:lncRNA from 1 species
GUUAUUUCUUUGAAAUCAGUGUUAAAAGACCCACUGUAUAAAGUGGUCCAACAGCGACGAAAACUUCAGAAGCUAGAGGGUUCCGGAAUAUCUCUCCAGGGUGAUCAAACGAAAUAGAGGAUUAAAAGUAAUCCGACCUUGCAGGACCCCUAUCUGUCUAAUCGAAAUUUUACAGAUGACUAUGGAGUGCGCUAUUCCUAACAGGAAUGAUAUUGGCCGCCUAGAAAAAAUGAAGUUUUCGAGCAAAUUUAAAAUCUAGUUAAAGAGAUAAUUACACUUAUCGCUUCCAUGGUCGCAAAUCAGUUUAUGCGUAUACAGCGGUGAUAUGACACGUAUGAAAGAUUAACCGGUGAGGUCUACGGCAAAUGAUAAUACGUAUGGAUGUCACAUAUACACAGCACAUCUAACUCCGUAGCCAUCAGCAGACUCUGCCGAAACUGCACAUUGUACAAGUAAAUAUACACGUGAUUGCGACCGGUCACAUUUUUGGACGAUGCCAUCAAUAUAACUAGCAACGGAAUAAAAUUCAUUAACGUAACAUACUUACCUGGAACUAUGCAAGGUUAUACCUGGCGUCUUCGCUGUUGGAUCUGAUUAAUCGUACAUGGAAAAUUUUUAUUCUGAAAACCGGAUAUGUCUAGAGUCAUCAGAAACAGAAUGUUUGAUACAUUUUCUGCUUUUUAUAAACGAAGUAGAAGGCACUAACUCAAACGUCUUUGUGAAGUGUAGGCGCAAUAUAAACACUGAGAAAAUACAUCCUGGGGAUAUGUUGGACCUCUAAGGUAAAAUAUGCUUGACCUUUUCCAUAGUAUUAAAAAGUAGUUGGUACUACGAACAGUAUCACGAUGAAUCAGGAAUUGAGCCAUUUUUAUGUGGCAAGUCAGAUGUAUGCUGAAAUGGGACGUCGUUGACUUGUGUAUUCAUUAACAGCAAAGCGAACCUAUAAAUACCAUCACAAAAUACACUUUUGACCAGGGCUAGCAAAAUCAACUCAAAUUGGAUGAGUGCAAGGUAUUUAUAAUGCCAAAUGUUAUUAUUUGCUAUUUAUAAGUACCAAAUGGUCGAAGGGGAUUACGAAAAAACGAGGAAUUUAAAAGGAAAAAAAGUCAAUUUGCCCCCCGCUUGGUAUUUCGAAAUGGAAUAAGUAUAAUCGAAAUCAUCUCUAGAGUGCUAUGAACACGACCUUUAACGAUACCAAUUUUGCUAAGAAACGUUAACCUUGGCAAAAAGCUACAUAUCAACACAGUGUUUUUGUUUACACUUCUCAUCGUAUCUGUAUUAAAGGCACACACGUGCGAUGAUACGGUAAAUUCCAACUAUGCACAUUCUGGUAUUUGUUGAAUAAGUGAUUAACAUUUAUUCGAAGUGUGAGCCGUGUAAAUAUCAACGUUGUUUCAGGUGGUAUUGCUACGUGCGCGAAUUUUCAAACGAGGUGUAAAACAUUAUCAACGGUAUAGUUUAUACUAGGCCUUUAAGGGCUAGUAGUUCGUCACCGCUCCAAACGUCUGGCUAUUAUCACAAAGGGCCUUGGUUGUCCUUCAUACGCGUUCAACAAGUAUAUUACUCCUUCGAUAUGCCUUACUGUAUCUUUCUUUGUAAGUUUGAGUAUCGAGUGCAAGAAGUCGUAAAUUUUUGUCUAACCGUAAAGGUUACUAUACGCAACAGA